rnacentral:lncRNA from 1 species
AUAGAUCUAAGAUAUAUCUGAAGAAAGCUGAAAGGUCUUAAAGAUUAGGGUUUCAGAAAACCCAGAAAAGAUAAGAAAGACCUCGAAAGUUACCGAUCUAACAAGAAAAGUCAAGGAUCUACUUCGAAAGGCUAUGAAGGGCCAAAGAAAGGUCAUGGAUGGUUGGAGAAAAGCCUUGAACAAAAGUUGAGCAAGUACUUGACAAAAUUCCUUCGAUGUCUGGCCAUGAAACAACAUAAACAAACACCCAUAUAAGAGGCGGAUACACAACUCAAAUGGCCAUGAGAGGCUAUGGAGUAGGCAGGGGUUGAGGUGGAUUAGAGUUGAAUUAGGUGGCGGUGGCUAGGAAUUAUGAGGUAUUGUAGAGAGAGUGGAGGGAAGGGGUUUAGAG